ACGAACGCUGGCGGCGUGCUUAACACAUGCAAGUCGCACGGAAAGGCCCUGCUUUUGUGGGGUGCUCGAGUGGCGAACGGGUGAGUAACACGUGAGUAGCCUGCCCUUGACUUUGGGAUAACUUCAGGAAACUGGGGCUAAUACCGGAUAGGAGCUCCUGCUGCAUGGUGGGGGUUGGAAAGUUUCGGCGGUUGGGGAUGGACCCGCGGCUUAUCAGCUUGUUGGUGGGGUAGUGGCUUACCAAGGCUUUGACGGGUAGCCGGCCUGAGAGGGUGACCGGCCACAUUGGGACUGAGAUACGGCCCAGACUCCUACGGGAGGCAGCAGUGGGGAAUAUUGCACAAUGGGCGGAAGCCUGAUGCAGCAACGCCGCGUGCGGGAUGACGGCCUUCGGGUUGUAAACCGCUUUCGCCUGUGACGAAGCGUGAGUGACGGUAAUGGGUAAAGAAGCACCAGCUAACUACGUG
rnacentral:rRNA from 1 species